rnacentral:rRNA from 1 species
UAGGGAAUCUUCCGCAAUGGGCGAAAGCCUGACGGAGCAACGCCGCGUGAGUGAUGAAGGUCUUCGGAUCGUAAAACUCUGUUAUUAGGGAAGAACAAAUGUGUAAGUAACUAUGCACGUCUUGACGGUACCUAAUCAGAAAGCCACGGCUAACUACGUGCCAGCAGCCGCGGUAAUACGUAGGUGGCAAGCGUUAUCCGGAAUUAUUGGGCGUAAAGCGCGCGUAGGCGGUUUUUUAAGUCUGAUGUGAAAGCCCACGGCUCAACCGUGGAGGGUCAUUGGAAACUGGAAAACUUGAGUGCAGAAGAGGAAAGUGGAAUUCCCUGUGUAGCGGUGAAAUGCGCAGGGAUAUGGAGGAACACCAGUGGCGAAGGCGACUUUCUGGUCUGUAACUGACGCUGAUGUGCGAAAGCGUGGGGGUCAAACAGG